AUUGUUUUGUUGAAUUUGGUUUUUGAGUUAAAAUUCUUAGAUGUUUUUAUGGGACGAGAAGACCCUAUAGAGUUUAACAUUAUCUUUCCUUGUGGUAAUUGUUGGUUUGAUUUGUAUUGGUUUGAGGUUAGUUGUAGUGUUUUGUUGGGGCGAUGGGAGGGAAUGUUUUUAACUCCUCUUUAUUUUUAUAUAUUUAUUUAUAUUAGUUUGAUCCAUUUAUUUUGAUUAUAAGAUUAAAUUACCUUAGGGAUAACAGCGUUAUCUUCCUUGAGAGUUCUUAUUGGCGGGGGGGUUUGCGACCUCGAUGUUGGAUUAAGGUGAAUUUUCGGUGCAGAAGCUGAAAGUGAUUAGGUCUGUUCGACCUUUAAAAUCUUACAUGAUCUGAGUUCAGACCGGCGUGAGCCAGGUUGGUUUCUAUCUAUAAUUUUUGUUUAUAUCUUAGUACGAGAGGACCGGGUAU
rnacentral:rRNA from 1 species